rnacentral:tRNA from 1 species
GCCACCGUAGCGCAGAGGUUAGCGUGUCCACCUAUGAAGCUGAAUACCUGGGUUCGAAUCCUGGCAGGAACA